UGGGAUAACGCCCGGAAACGGGUGCUAAUACCGGAUAUUCACUGGCCUUCGCAUGGGGGUUGGUGGAAAGGUUUUUUCUGGUGGGGGAUGGGCUCGCGGCCUAUCAGCUUGUUGGUGGGGUGAUGGCCUACCAGGGCUUUGACGGGUAGCCGGCCUGAGAGGGUGACCGGUCACAUUGGGACUGAGAUACGGCCCAG
rnacentral:rRNA from 1 species